GACGGAGGAUGCAAGCGUUAUCCGGAAUGAUUGGGCGUAAAGCGUCCGCAGGUGGCAGUUCAAGUCUGCUGUCAAAGACCGGGGCUUAACUUCGGAAAGGCAGUGGAAACUGAACAGCUAGAGUAUGGUAGGGGCAGAGGGAAUUCCUGGUGUAGCGGUGAAAUGCGUAGAUAUCAGGAAGAACAUCGGUGGCGAAGGCGGUUCUCUGGGCAUUACCUGACGCUGAGGAGCGAAAGUGUGGGGAGCGAACAGG
rnacentral:rRNA from 1 species